AUUGAACGCUGGCGGCAUGCCUUACACAUGCAAGUCGAACGGCAGCACGGGAGCAAUCCUGGUGGCGAGUGGCGAACGGGUGAGUAAUAUAUCGGAACGUGCCCAGUCGUGGGGGAUAACGUAGCGAAAGCUACGCUAAUACCGCAUACGAUCUAUGGAUGAAAGCGGGGGAUCGCAAGACCUCGCGCGAUUGGAGCGGCCGAUAUCAGAUUAGGUAGUUGGUGAGGUAAAGGCUCACCAAGCCGACGAUCUGUAGCUGGUCUGUGAGGACGACCAGCCACACUGGGACUGAGACACGGCCCAGACUCCUACGGGAGGCAGCAGUGGGGAAUAUUGGACAAUGGGCGAAAGCCUGAUCCAGCAAUGCCGCGUGAGUGAUGAAGGCCUUAGGGUUGUAAGCUCUUUUACCCGAGAUGAUAAUGACAGUAUCGGGAGAAUAAGACUCCGGCUAACUCCGUGCCAGCAGCCG
rnacentral:rRNA from 1 species